rnacentral:rRNA from 1 species
UACAGAGGGUGCAAGCGUUAAUCGGAAUUACUGGGCGUAAAGCGUGCGUAGACGGUCAUGUAAGUCGGGUGUGAAAGCCCCGGGCUCAACCUGGGAAUUGCAUUCGAGACUGCAUGGCUAGGAUGCGGAAGAGGGAAGCGGAAUUUCCGGUGUAGCGGUGAAAUGCGUAGAUAUCGGAAGGAACGACCAGUGGCGAAAGCGGCUUCCUGGUCCAG